rnacentral:rRNA from 1 species
CUCAGGAUGAACGCUAGCGACAGGCCUAACACAUGCAAGUCGAGGGGCAGCGAAGAGGUAGCAAUACCUCUGUCGGCGACCGGCGCACGGGUGAGUAACACGUAUGCAAUCCACCUGUAACAGGGGGAUAACCCGGAGAAAUCCGGACUAAUACCCCAUAAUAUGGGCGCUCCGCAUGGAGGGCUCAUUAAAGAAAGCAAUUUUGGUUACAGACGAGCAUGCGCUCCAUUAGCCAGUUGGCGGGGUAACGGCCCACCAAAGCGACGAUGGAUAGGGGUUCUGAGAGGAAGGUCCCCCACAUUGGAACUGAGACACGGUCCAAACUCCUACGGGAGGCAGCAGUGAGGAAUAUUGGUCAAUGGUCGGCAGACUGAACCAGCCAAGUCGCGUGAGGGAAGACGGCCCUACGGGUUGUAAACCUCUUUUGUCGGAGAGUAAAGUACGCUACGUGUAGCGUAUUGCAAGUAUCCGAAGAAAAAGCAUCGGCUAACUCCGUG